GGAUGUGCAGGCCAUCUGGCUGUGACAUCUGUCACUCCAUUGAUCACCAGGAUUGAUUUGGCUGAUCUGGCUGGCUAGGCGGGUUGUCCCCUUCCUCCCUCAACGUUCUGCGGGUAUCCCUCCCAGAGCUGCACACUUGGUCGAAGAGGACAACCUUCCCCGAUAGAGGAGGACUGGUGCACUGCUAGAACCUCCAAACAAGCUCUCAAAUAUUCAGUACCAUAAUCUUCAGAUUUUCACUGGGUCACCUUCUCUAUGUU
rnacentral:sRNA from 1 species